rnacentral:rRNA from 1 species
GGGUGCGAUCAUACCAGCGUUAAUGCACAGGAUCCCAUCAGAACUCCACAGUUAAGCGCACUUGGGCUAGAGUAGUGCUGGGAUGGGUGACCUCCCGGGAAGUCCUAGUGUUGCACCCU